rnacentral:lncRNA from 1 species
UCCUCAUGGAUGCUAGUCGGGUCAGGUAACCACUGAGCUAGGACAGGAACCCCCUGAGUUUGCAUGUCAGUCCAUUUUGCAGAAAUGGACAAUUAUGCUGCUUUUUUUCAGGGCAGCUUUCUUCCCCAUGUCACAAAGCUGUCAGUCUCAAAUCGUGUAUUUGGCUUUGGGGCAAAAAUGACUAAAACUGGCUUCUUUUGUCAGGGGCACGGUCUGAAUCUGCUCAGGGCAAGAUGAUGAGUGGGGUCGGGGGCUUCGUCCUGGGUCUGCUCUUUGUUGCUGUGGGGCUGUUCAUCUACUUCAAGAAUCAGAAAGGACGCCCUGCCCUUCAGCCAACAGGCCUCCUGAGCUGAAGUGCAGGUGGUGACACUCCAAGCAAGCAUCCUCUGUGCCAGCGUCUUCACAGCAUGAGAAGGCUCCUGCUAUGCUCUGCGUCCUCCCCCAGGAGAGCUCUUCCUCAGACUCUCCUUUGCUCCUGGUUCAGGGACCCUGCAGAAAAGGUCUUUUGAUGGCUUUCUCAGCCUCCCCCCUUUGACCUGGAAGUUCCUUGUGUUGAGGGCUGUACCUGGUUGGUCUCUGUUGUUUUUUUCCUGGUUGGUCCCUGUUGUUUUCGACGUUACUGCCUCCUGUGCAUCUGAACUCAUCCACUGUCCAUAUUACCUUAUUAUGUUUUUCUCCAAUAAAUAUGGAGUGACAA